GGAAGAGUGGCAGAGUGGCCGAUUGCGCCUGUCUUGAAAACAGGAGGUCCGCAAGGAUCCGUGGGUUCGAAUCCUACCUCUUCCG
rnacentral:tRNA from 1 species